GUGUGAUUUCAUCUACAGGACUACAUUUGGAUCUCUUUUCAUCCGCACAUAUAUCAUACGAUUCAGCCGUGUUGUGGCAAGGACACGUAUGGAGAAUGUUCAAGCAGAGGUGGGACUAGAAUUCAACAAUACAGUUUCAUCAGACCAAAUCCCAAAGGAUGAUCUUAUUAUAAAAACCUUAGUACAAGCUGUGAAUACACCAAACACCUUCAACCUUACGAUUGAUGCAAACUCCAUUCAAAUUCAAAAAUCUCCAAAUGCAACAACAUCUUCACCAACUAAAGCUCCUGCAACUCCAGUUACAACGGCUAAGAUUCCUGCAACGACGGCUUCUGUAACAGGCGUCGGUACAACUGCUGAACAACUCACCAUACGGAGGCUGACCUUCAGAUCUGCUGGAGAGACAUUUAUGAAUGACUUGCUGAAUCCAUCUUCAUCAGCAUUUCAAAUUAGAGCUACAUUGAUAAGCUACAUUUUUUAAUAAUGAUAUAUGCAUUAACAAACAUAUACAUUGUUUUGACUAAUAAGAAUGAGGUCAUUAGCCAUAACAAAAUGGAUUGAAAAUACUUUUACAAGAUGGUGUUUCUUGUUCGUUGUUUCACUGUGGUUUUAGAAACAAGAACAUUUCAGGUAUUAUUAAAAAAGGAACACUUUGUGACAACAUCAGGAAGCUAUGUUAUUUUUGUUGUUGCUUGGUGGAUAAGCAUGCUUAUAACAAUUGCAGUUGUUGGACAGACAAAAAAGCAAAAGGUAGCAUGAACAUGGAUUUGCUUUUACAUGUUUGACAUCAGUUUCGGUAACCUAGAGCAACAUCCACUGCAGGACCUUCCUUGAAUUAACAAAAAGAGAAUACAUGUCUAAAGAACAGUUUCCAGUCAACUGAACAGCUCUCUAAAAACAAGGUCCCACUCCCUGUUGCAAUCCAUCAAAAAACAUGCCUCUAAAUGUUCUCCUAAAUUAGAAAUAACUGAAGAAACCAACUGUCCAUAUACGUAUAUUAUGCUGGGCAUAGAUGUGUUAGCAUAGAUGUGUUAGUCAAGAAAAAAUGUACUUAUGUAAAAAACGGCAGUGCUGAAGUGAGGAAGAGCACAGCAUCAAUGUACUCACUGUUUGCCUGCUUGUGUUUCUGCAGCUCGAACCCACCUACCAAAAAGCAUUUUCCUCUUUCCGCUUAUUGAAGGUGGUUAUGUUCAGCAAUGGAUCUAUCUACAACACUAUGGAUCUUCAAUUUGCACCUUCAUCGGUUCCCAAUGGCACUCAGAUUGCAGAUGUGUUGGUUGGUGCAGCUUCAAGCAUCACAGCCUUCAACAUCGAAACUGCCUCCAUUUCUGUGAACGGCAUACAAGUUUCCCAUGGAGUAGAACACCGGAUCAGUGUCCUCACUGCAACCCUCCUUGUGCUGCUGUCAUGGCUCCUGUCAAGCUUACAUUAAGACAGGGCUUAUAUCCCUGUGAAAUAUCAUUAAUAAAAUAUUUCUAUCUCUAAUGUAAAACAUUAUAACUUUUUCAUCAUAAAAUAAUGAAACAUGUGAGGGAUUUUAACUGCUGUAUGUCUUGGGAGGAACUAUCAUAUAUGCAUUUAAACUCAAUGCUACCUAAUUAAUGAACAGGUAGGAUCAACUUUUUAAUGGUAACGGCACACAGACAGAGGAGUACCAUUCAUGAUGUGUCAAAAUUAGGUUAUUAUUGUAUGUUACGCCGUACAAUUUAGACAAAUACCAUUUGAACCCUGUUAUGUUUUAGAGCCAAUACAUAAUCAUUUCAGUAUGUGCUCAAAUAAAAAUAAUUUAGUACCCUAAAAUAGAAUCAUAUUUACAUAAAGUAUAUAUUUUUAUUUCGAACAAAUUGCAUCUAUUUGGCGAAAAAUGUCCAAAACUAUUGUUGGCUUGUGAAUUCUUAGAAACAAGCCAGAAUUCUUAUUAUAGAAUACAUCAACAUUAUGAAGGAAUUGCAUCAAACAUGAUGUCUUUAACAACAUUUUAACAGCCGUUUUCUGUAACAUUAAC